GAUGAACGCUAGCUACAGGCUUAACACAUGCAAGUCGAGGGGCAGCAUGAUUGAAGCUUGCUUCAAUCGAUGGCGACCGGCGCACGGGUGAGUAACACGUAUCCAACCUGCCGAUAACUCGGGGAUAGCCUUUCGAAAGAAAGAUUAAUACCCGAUAGUAUAGUCUUUCCGCAUGGUUUCACUAUUAAAGAACUUCGGUUAUCGAUGGGGAUGCGUUCCAUUAGAUAGUUGGCGGGGUAACGGCCCACCAAGUCAACGAUGGAUAGGGGUUCUGAGAGGAAGGUCCCCCACAUUGGAACUGAGCCACGGUCCAAACGCCUAAGGGAGGAAGCAGUGAGGAAUAUUGGUAAAUGGAAGAGAGUCUGAACCAGCCAAGUAGCGUGAAGGAAGACUGCCCUAUGGGUUGUAAACUUCUUUUAUACGGGAAUAAAGUGGAGUAUGCAUACCCCUUUGUAUGUACCGGAUGAAUAAGGAUCGGCUAACUCCGUG
rnacentral:rRNA from 1 species